UACGGAGGGUGCAAACGUUGCUCGGAAUUAUUGGGCGUAAAGCGCACGUAGGCGGCUCGACAAGUCGGGUGUGAAAUCCCUCGGCUCAACCGAGGAAGUGCAUUCGAAACUGGCGAGCUAGAGUACUGAAGAGGGUCGCGGAAUUCCCGGUGUAGAGGUGAAAUUCGUAGAUAUCAGGAGGAACACCGGUGGCGAAGGCGGGAUCCUGGGCCAGUACUGACGCUGAGGAGCGAAAGCGUGGGGAGCAAACAGG
rnacentral:rRNA from 1 species